CGAUAACUCUGCCAUUUUGCCGACAAAAGAGGGCUAUGAUGAGGGAAUUUUAAUUUUGUGGGAAUGCAGUGCAACAAUGAUGAAGUGUGGAAACAGCGAUAACGCUGCUAUUUUGCCGGCAAGAAAAGAGCGAUGAUGAGGGAAUUUGUGGGAAUACAGAAAAAGUGUGGAAAUACAGAAAAAAGCGAUAACUCUGUCAUAUUUUACCGGCAAAUCGGCAGUUAUGAGAUUUUAAUUGGAAGAAUAUAAAGCUUGGUACGUUUUGUGCCCAUGAAUGUCGAUGAUGAAGAAAGUAUACAAGAUCUUUUGCUGCAAAUCGAUAAUGUCAUACAGUAUGGUGAGGAUGCCGAUGUGAAAGUUCAUGAUUUCGAUCCACCUGAGGAGGAGGAGGGGGAGAAUGAUGAUUAAGCUGUAGUUGAACUAUGUAUAUUUCCUUGCAGUUUAUACUAUGUACAUAAAAAGUUUUUUCAUCCAAGACAACGAUUUUGUUUUUAAAGUUUGUAUAAAGAUUAUUAUUAAAAAUUUUUUUUACAAUAACA